rnacentral:rRNA from 1 species
GACGAACGCUGGCGGCGUGCCUAAUACAUGCAAGUCGAGCGAAGCGGCGGAUGGGUGAGUAACGCGUGGGUAACCUGCCCUUAAGCCUGGGAUACUAUCUGGAAACAGAUCCUAAUACCGGAUACUAAAGUAUGGACCUGGGAUGCAUUAGAUAGUGGGUAAGGUAACGGCUUACCAAGGCGAGGAUGCAUAGCCGGGCUGAGAGACUGAUCGGCCACAUUGGGACUGAGACACGGUCCAGACUCCUACGGGAGGCAGCAGUGGGGAAUAUUGCACAAUGGGCGCAAGCCUGAUGCAGCCAUGCCGCGUGUAUGAAGAAGGCCUUCGGGUUGUAAAGUACUUUCAGCGAGGAGGCGUUACUCGCAGAAGAAGCACCGGCUAACUCCGUGCCAGCCGCCGCGGUAAUUC